rnacentral:lncRNA from 1 species
GGCAAACAUUCAGAUAAAACACCUGAUCCCCAUCAAGAAUCCUCAAAGCUAAUUUUAUCUCCAACUUUUGAUCCCUACAACCACGGUUCCACAGAAAAAAAAACUCUGGAUGCCCUUUGGUACCGUGUGUCUUACCCAUCCCGUGUCUCAUUCAGGGCUAAUCUGCUGUCACCCGUUGUCCAUCUGGGGCAUUAGCGGAUCACCUAAGCUCCACUUCGUCCUCCUCCCAGCUGUUCGACAUCCUGCUGAGGAGGUGACUGCGUUAGCCUCCUGCUGAGCACUGAGUGGUGGUGUUUGCUGUACAAGAUGAAUUGGGCUCAUGGACAUGGCAUAAGUUCUUCUGUGACCCGGUAUUUUAGUUUGUUUUUAACUUUUGUGGUUCUGGAGGCCAGGAAGUCCAAGAUGGAGGGGCCAGCAGGUUUGGUGUUUGGGGCAGGUAGCUUGCUGGUGCAGCCACACAUGGUGAAAGAGCCAAGGAGCUCUCUUGAGCCUCUUUGAUGAAGAUGCUGAUCUUAUUUAGGAGGUGGAGGCUUGUGAUUCAACCAAUUCCUGGAGUUCCUACUUCUUCAUACUAUCACAAUGGAUACUAGCCUUCAAUGAAUGAAUUUGGAGAGGACACCAACCUUCAGACCGCAGGACCUGGCUCUGAUUUGCCUCCCGGGCUUGCUCUCUCACCUCAUUCUGCCUGUGGCUUCAGGUGCAUCUGCUGGCUCGCUCUGGGUGCCUCGCUCACACAGUGCUGAUCUUUCUCUCUGGAGUAGACUAUCCCCAUCUUUCUCCUGGGCAAUCUAUUCUUUCAUAACCAGCUCAGGCUGGAUACAAUCAUCCCCGCCCAGUUGGGAUGCUUGGGUCUCCGUUCUGUGCCUUCUGUGUCAUCAGAUAGAUAGUGACAUUAGCUAGGCACAAUGGUGCACGCCUGUAAUCCCAGAGACUCAGGAGGCUGGGGGCAGGAGGACUGCAAAUCCAAAGCCAGCCUCAGCAACUUAGUGAGGCCCUAAGCAAUUUAGCGAGACCCUGUCUCAAAAUAAAAAAUUUAAAAAAUGGGCUGGAGAUAUGGCUCAGUGGUUAAGGUGCCCCUGAGUUCAAUCCCGGGUACCAAAAAAAAAAAACAAAAAAAAAAACCAAAAAGAUAGUGAGCUCUUUGUGGGCAGAGUCUAGUCAUCUAUGUACACCAGUAACUUUUUGUGUGCUUGUAGGUAACAGUUGCUCAGUAAACACUUGUAGAUCCCAGCAGCAGGAGCAACAGUGACGAGCUGUUAUUUAUUUAUUUAUUUUUUUUGAGUUCUACUUUAUCCCUUUUUGGAAGCCUGAGAUGGAAGAAAAUGGCCAAAAUGCUAUGACCAGAAAGGAGACAGGAAGUCAAAGGUUUUGGAAAAAUGUGUAGAUACAAUAUCUUCCUGUUUUUCUGAGUUCGGUCCAGCUGAUUAAAAUCCUGGUGGGAAUCCUUUUUUUUUUUUAGGGUGGAUUAGCAACCUUCUGGGAAGGUGGAUUUCUCCAGAGAAAUGCAUUGGAGCCAUUUAAGAAUUCCAAUGGAAAAAAAAAAAAUCCUACUUACCAGGCAAAUUGAUAAAGAUUCCUUCCCUUUCUCUUAUGAAUAAAAGAGUUUACACAGAAACUCUCGAAGCGAUUGUGUGAGGGAUUCACAAGGAUCACUAAAAUCUCCACUAGACCUUCACUUUCACUUUGUAAAACUGCCUACACCCUGAAAAAAAACGGCAUCAUACAAAAAAAUGGACUUUCCGGGGCUUCCCUAUGAAUGGGUCCUGCUGGCUGCACACUGGGGCCAUUCAUUUUAUUUGGCCCAUUUAUCGCAAGUACAUUCUAAAUUUGGCCUUAAUUAUUUUUCCUUUCACAAAAAUAUUUUGUGGGAUCUUUUUGAACCUUGGCCACUUCCUACUUGCCCCUUCAAACAGAAGCCAGGAGUGUUAUUUUUGUUCUCUUCUAAUUAAAAUAAUUGCUUGGUUCCUUUUAACUAGAUUCAUGCCGUUAUUAGCCUAAUACGUGGAUGGGUGCCACGGGGUGCUUGAGAAACAAGACGAAAAGUGAUCAUGGAGCUUCACAUGAAAAAGGUUCUGCCGUGCCAAGGAGCAUUAUUUCCUUUCAGCCAGUGUUUCAUAAGGGUCUUUCGUCAACCUGGCCCCCCAUACCCUUCCUAAAAGGCUUGCUCAGGGAAAGAAUAGUUCUAUUUUCUUUAGGAAGGUAUACAGCCAGCUCCGUACAGUUUGAAGAGCGGCACUUGAUGUGCUGAGUGUGGCACAAAGACCUCGGCUCUGGGUUUAAUCUCUGCCCCUGCUUUGUCUUUCAGAAUAACUGCAGUCGAAGGACAAAUCCCCCAUGUCCCCUCUGCCAGUGGGUGCUCAUCAAAGGACAGCGAAGGAAGAGAAAGUGCCUAGAUGCGUGCACCCGUCAAGUGUCGUCGAGACUGCAAAUGCCAAGUGUGCAAAGGACUCUUUAUUUUUUUAUUUUUGGGUAGCAGGAAUUGAACCCAGGUGUGCUUAACUCCUGAGCCACAUCCCUACUCCUUUUUAUUUUUUUAUUUUGAGACAGGGUCUCUUGAAGUUGCUCAAGUCCUCUCUAAGUUGCUCAGGCUGGCCUGGAACUUGCGAUCCUCCUGCCUCAGCCUCCUGAACUGCUGGGAUGAUAGGCAUGGGUCUCCCCACCAGGCUCAAAUGGCAUUUUGACAAGACUUUUCUCAAAGGCGAUGGGGUCUCAGGGUUGGCAAACAAGGCUCUGGGGACACCUCCGACUGUUGCCUGUUUUUAAUGAAGCCUUCUUUGGAGCGCAAGCACACCAGUUGAUGUAUUUUCUGUGGCUGCUNUCAGGAGGCUGAGGCAGGAGGGUUGUGAGUUCAAAG